CCUACGGGCGGCAGCAGUGAGGAAUAUUGGUCAAUGGGCGCUAGGCUGAACCAGCCAAGUAGCGUGAAGGAUGACUGCCCUAUGGAUUGUAAACUUCUUUUGUCUGGGGAUAAAGUGAAGGAUGUAAACUUGUUUGCAUGUACCUUAUGAAUAAGGAUCGGCUAACUCCGUGCCAGCAGCCGCGGUAAUACGGAGGUUCCGAGCGUUAUUCGGAGUUAUUGGGUUUAAAGGGAGCGUAGGCGGUUUGUUAAGUCAGUGGGGAAAGUUUGGGGCUCAACAGUCAAAGGGCAGUUGAUACGGGCAGUCUUGAGUACAGUAGAGGUAGGCGGAAUUCGUGGUGUAGCGGUGAAAUGCUUAGAUAUCACGAAGAACGCCGAUUGCGAAGGCAGCAUGCUGGACUGUAACUGACGCUGAUGCUCGAAAGUGUGGGUAUCAAACAGGAUUAGAUACCCCAGUAGUC
rnacentral:rRNA from 1 species